GUGGUGUCAGCACGUGCCUGGAUACAUGAGAUGGUUGACCAGAGAGCACACGCUUUAUUUGUGCCGUUUGUGACCUGGUCCACUAACCCUCAGUAUCUAAUGCCCCCUUGGAGAACUU
rnacentral:precursor_RNA from 1 species